rnacentral:lncRNA from 1 species
CAGGUGAUGCUGAUGCUGUCAGUCAAUGGACCACACUUUGAGAACUACCUUCUACCAAGGCAUACUGGUCCCGCCAGAACACUGAGCUUCAUGAAGAUGAAAGUAAACUCUACUCAGACCCCAAGACCAAAUGCCACCUCCUCCAGGAAGCCUUCGCUGACCACUACAGCCGCAGUACCGCUUUCUCCAUUCAACGAAGACUGUCCGGACAAAGUCCUUGGGGAUUGUGUCUCAUACUUUUUUCAAAUGAAUAUUAGGGGGUGUGGUCUAUCCACUACAGAGUUCCAGCUAUGGAGACUUACAACAGUGAAUGGUUGUCUUCAGAAGGGCACUUACUAAAAAUAAUACCCA